CCCUUAGAUGUUCUGGGCCGCACGCGCGCUACACUGAUACAUGCAACGAGUUUAUAACCUUGAUCUGACGGUCUGGGUAAUCUUCAAACUGUAUCGUGUUAGGGAUCGAUUCUUGCAAUUUUUAAUCGUAAACGAGGAAUUCCUAGUAAACGCAAGUCAUCAGCUUGCAUUGAUUACGUCCCUGCCCUUUGUACACACCGCCCGUCGACUCUACCGAUUGAAUGGUUCGGUGAAAACUUUGGACUGUGGCAUUGUCCUUCAUUGGACUUCGCCGUAGGAAAUUGUUUAAACCUCNUNAUUUAANGGAAGAAUAANUCGUANCA
rnacentral:rRNA from 1 species